rnacentral:lncRNA from 1 species
AAUCAGCGAGAUUCCGUGGGCGUAGGACCCUCGGAGCCAGGUGUGGGAUAUAGUCUCGUGGUGCGCCGUUUCUUAAGCCGGUCUGAAAAGCGCAAUAUUCGGGUGGGAGUGACCCGAUUUUCCAGUGUAUUUUGGGAUCUCUACUGUGCAGCUCCAGAGAGACGUGAAACAUGUGAACACUCAAGUGAAGCAAAAGCCUUCCAUGAUUACAGUGCUGCAGCAGCUCCCAGUCCAGUGCUAGGAAACAUUCCCCCAGGAGAUGGCAUGCCAGUAGGUCCUGUACCACCAGGGUUCUUUCAGCCUUUUAUGUCACCUCGGUACCCUGGAGGUCCAAGGCCCCCAUUGAGGAUACCUAAUCAGGCACUUGGAGGUGUCCCAGGAAGUCAGCCAUUACUCCCCAGUGGAAUGGAUCCAACUCGACAACAAGGACAUCCAAAUAUGGGUGGGCCAAUGCAGAGAAUGACUCCUCCAAGAGGAAUGGUGCCCUUAGGACCACAGAACUAUGGAGGUGCAAUGAGACCCCCACUGAAUGCUUUAGGUGGCCCUGGAAUGCCUGGAAUGAACAUGGGUCCAGGUGGUGGUAGACCUUGGCCAAACCCAACAAAUGCCAAUUCAAUACCAUACUCCUCAGCAUCUCCUGGGAAUUAUGUAGGUCCUCCAGGAGGUGGAGGGCCACCAGGAACACCCAUCAUGCCUAGUCCAGCAGAUUCAACCAACUCUGGUGAUAACAUGUAUACUUUAAUGAAUGCAGUACCUCCUGGACCUAACAGACCUAAUGU